UGAGGAAUAUUGGUCAAUGGGCGAGAGCCUGAACCAGCCAAGUAGCGUGCAGGAAGACGGCCCUAUGGGUUGUAAACUGCUUUUAUGCGGGGAUAAAGUGAGGGACGUGCCCUUCAUUGCAGGUACCGCAUGAAUAAGGACCGGCUAAUUCCGUGCCAGCAACCGCGGUAAUACGGAAGGUCCAGGCGUUAUCCGGAUUUAUUGGGUUUAAAGGGAGCGUAGGCCGUGGAUUAAGCGUGUUGUGAAAUGCAGGUGCUCAACGUCUGCACUGCAGCGCGAACUGGUCCACUUGAGUGUGCGCAACGCAGGCGGAAUUCGUCGUGUAGCGGUGAAAUGCUUAGAUAUGACGAAGAACUCCGAUUGCGAAGGCAGCUUGCGGGAGCACAACUGACGCUGAAGCUCGAAAGUGCGGGUAUCGAACAGGAUUAGAUACCCUGGUAGUCCGCACGGUAAACGAUGGAUGCCCGUUGUCAGGCUGUUUCAGCCUGGUGACCAAGCGAAAGCAUUAAGCAUCCCACCUGGGGAGUACGCCGGCAACGGUG
rnacentral:rRNA from 1 species